UGCACUUACACUGGCAUCAUGUCCAAAUUGCAGUAGGGAAAGAACAAUGAAAAUCCAUUUAAUCCUGAGCUCUCACAGUGGCUGGAAAUAAAACACCCUUGCUGUUGUUCAGUGGACUUCCUCUCACUCUCACAGUUUUCUAGUGGAAGGCUGUUAUCCCACCAAGGUGUUUGCAGGCGGUUGGGAUCGGUGGAAAGGCAGCCAAGGGGAAGAGGACUAUUGGAGUGAGAAUCAGCUGGACAUGUCCAUUUGAGCACCUGUGAGGUUUUUUUUUUCACGUGGAGAAUUGUGCUCUGCUGGGGAGAAACGACAGAGUCACCCAGAGAUUGAAGGCAGUGACUGAUGGUGAACUAGCAACAUUUUCUGAAACAUGCAGGCCAGCAAUAUCUGCUAAUCUGUGUUGUGAGAGAGGGGGAGGGAGAAGAAGAGAGGUUUUGGUACGUGUAAGUAGGAACACAUCUAUAACAACAUAUAUCAACCUUCUUAAAUGAUAACACACAGUCUGGUUUACACAGCCAAGCCAAUAUUUAAUGGAAAUGUAAAUGAACAUAAUUUGAAGUAUUGUUCCUGUCCAACAUCAUGUCUUUUAAGUCAGUAUGGAUUGGACACCUGAACUGAAGAAUGUUGUUAAGCCAAAGUGCUCAUUUAGUUUCAUCAUUAUGCAUACAGCUUUACUGACAGUAGAGAGAGGAGAUUGAGCAUGAUUUUCAUAAAGAUUUUAUAAUUAUAUUUUUCCUUUGAUCAUUUUUCUAUAUGAACUUCAUGCAGUUAUCUUGAUUAAGAAAUGGUAUGAAAGCUUAUAGCCUUUGUCUUUCCUAACCUACAAAAUACAUUAAUAAAGCAGACAUAAGAAUACUGUACACCUUAAUAUAAAAUAAAUAUUUGCAGGUCAUUUACAUUGACAGAAUCUUUGGAUAAAAUAAAAAGGAGGCAGAUGCUUGGCUUAUGGAGCUAAGAGUGUUAUCUUCACCCUUAUAUCUUCAUGGCAUAAGGUCCCAUGAUGGGUCAAGUGCACACAGACAAGUCCUUGGGUCCAUAGGAGUUCUGUUCACUCUUUCAGCUGCACCUGCAGAAUGAGGCCUGUGCUAAAUUCUGAAAAACGUGAAAGAGUAGGAAAAUACAAUAAACACCUCUUUUCUUUUAAUAUGGCAUCAUCAAUGCUUUUUGGUAGAGCUGACAUAGGCAUUAAGUAUCUGUAUAGAGCUGCACUCCAAGCAAUUUUAUUUCUUUGGUAUGUCUAGGACAAUGGUUAACAUUGUUAUGCUUGGAGUUAGUCAGAGAAGCAGCACAAUAAAGUUCUCUUUCUUGAGUAAAUUUUUGCUGACAACAUUUUGUUUCAUUUUUUGAUGGAGUUAGGAAAUGUGAACUGGACAGAUUUUCUGUUGGAAAAUGCUGAUUGAAACUGAAAUGCUUUUAGAAAUAUGCUAUAUUUUAUUAGUACAAUGUUGAUAUGUACAACACUGAUAUGUGCAAUCUUAAAAGGAAAAAAUAUGCUGUUAAAAAUUGAAUCUAUUCAAAUAUACUGUUUUCCAGAAAAAUCUCAGCUUUCUG